UUGUCGGUUUUUAUAGGCCUUUAGGCUACAAUAGAAAAAUCCAAAAGAACACGCAAUAUGUCUGUCGCUGGAAAUGAAAUAAUAGACGCACAUAACUUGGCUUGACAAACAGGAUAAUAUCUAUAUUUCAUCAUAAACCAGUUAGUACAGUACUACAAUGCACCUUGCCCAGGAACCUCCUGUGAAAGGUGUGAACCAAUUCCGACCAAGCAAAGCAAAAAACGGGGCGCGGCACAGUCAAGACAAGAGAAGAUAUGGUUUCGCAACUUAACCCACAGCAUUGUGGGAAUUUGACGUUGCCAGUCCCUAUGUACCGGUUUUACGCAAGAAUGUAGUUAACAUAUUUUCCCUCAACUGUUGUCCUUACUGUCACAUUGCAGCUUCACGAUGGUGUGUCAGCCGGACAUCAUCUUUAACUUUGAGAAGGCAUACUUCAUCCUGGAUGAGUUCCUGGUGGGAGGAGAGAUCCUGGAGACCUCCAAGACAGCUGUGGGCAUCGCUAUGGAGGAGGCAGAGACAUUACAAGAGGUGACCCACACACAGUCACUUAAGUGUGACACACUUGCCCAAAUAUUUCAAUAUGUUUCUUCUGUUCUCUCAACAGACAAUGGACAAUAUGAGUAAACCGACCUACUGAACCAAUAACAGGGAAGUGAGUCGAAUCUUAAGACCGAAGAAUCCUUUUCUCAAUAAGUGCCACAACAUUUCAAAGAAGAUUUAUUCUUAAGAUACUCUUCCAUUCAGACAGAAUACAUGGUCUGUUUUAUAUAUGCACUUUCUAAUAUUAUUAGUUUUUUUUUUUUUUUACUUUUUACUCCUUUUUCUCCCGAAUUGGUAGUUCCAGUCUUGUCCCAUUGCUGCAACUCCCGUACGGACUCGGUCAAGAGCCAUGUGUCCUCUGAAACACGACCCCUCCAAGCUGCUUCUUGACCCAGCCGCACCAAUGUGUCGGAGGAAACCGUGUACAACUGGCGACUGUGUCAGCGUGUGUGCUCUCGGCCCGCCACAAGGAGUCACUAGAGUGCGAUAGGACAAGGACAUCCCGGCUGGCCAAACCCGGAUGACGCUGGGCCAAUUUUGUGCCGCCUUAUGGGUCUCCCGGUUGUGGCCGGCUGCAACACAGCUCGGGAUUGAACCCGGGUCUUUAGUGACGCCUCAAGCACUGCGAUGCAGUACCUUAGACCGCUGCACCACUCGGAAGGCCCCUAUAAGCACUUUCUGAAAGAUGCAUUAGGAGUUUUAUAAUUCAGGAGUUCAUUUUAAAACACAGUUUAACUUUGAGAUUUAUUUUUAAAUGUGUUAUUAGUUAAAACUAUUUUAUUUAUUACAAAUUUGAUGAGAUCACAUAUGUUUUACAGUAAUUGUAGCCUGCUUUGCUUUAUCUGAUUUUUAAGCAAAUAUGUUAUUUUAGCAUAUUGCUGCUGCAUUUUCAAAUGUUUUAAUUCAGUUGUGAGUUGACUAACAUAGCCACUGACUGCACAAACGUGAUAGUGCCUUAUUGUAAUAUGUCUCAGUUGGCAAGCUAGAGCCAGAGGGUUCUAAGAUUGAAGCUAAAGGUUAACAUUUUGGAAAGUGAUGCCUACUCAGUGCCGUUAAAGCUGUACUGUCUGAAUAAAUAGUUUUGUUUCCAGAAUA